AGAAACAACUGUCCUCCUGAUGCUGGUGUGACACUUCUGUACAGGAAUCAUAUCUACUGUGCGAGGAAAGCUGCCUGUGGCACUGAUCUAAAUGAUAAAUGGAGAGAAGUCAAAAGAGACAAGGAAAGGAAUAUGCAGAAGCAAGAGGAUGUUUGGGAAAAGACUGUAAGUCAUGAAUUUGAAGAACACUAGUUCUUAGCUGGAGAGCUAGAAGUACAAGAUGUGAAUGUGGAGCUCCCUGGCCUGGCCCUAAUGAAGCUUGCUGUCUAAAGAAAAUAUAGUUGACCUUUGAAUAAUAUGGGAUUGAGCGGUAUGGGGCCACUUAC